rnacentral:rRNA from 12 species
CAUUAAAAAGUAUUCCGAUUGGACGGAGUAAAGUCACCCUAGCAUCCACUGUAACACCAGCUCCAGAAGCAUACGCCGAAAAUG